CCUACGGGAGGCAGCAGUGGGGAAUUUUGCACAAUGGGCGAAAGCCUGAUGCAGCGACGCCGCGUGGAGGAUGAAGGCCUUCGGGUUGUAAACUCCUUUUGUAGGGGACAAUGAUGAUGGUACCCUACGAAUAAGCCACGGCUAACUCUGUGCCAGCAGCCGCGGUAAGACAGAGGUGGCGAGCGUUGUUCGGAAUCACUGGGCUUAAAGGGCGCGUAGGUGGUAGUGUAAGUCUGGGGUGGAAUCCUACGGCUUAACCGUAGAACUGCCUUGGAAACUG
rnacentral:rRNA from 1 species